GACCCAAGCUGAAAGCAGAUGCCCAAUGACUGAGCCAUCCAGUUCCAGAAAUAGAAACAAAUAAGAUGAGGCUUUUGAUCUCAUUGAACUCUCUUGGAGGCAAAGGGGCUGCAGACAUCAGAGUCACAGUAAACUGAUGGAGGAAAGCCCCAGCUACUAUGAAAAGGAAUGCAUCACAUUUGUGGAAAAUCUAAGUCAAGGUUACCCUGUGCGACGGUGGUUAAGGAGAGCAGAGGAGCUUCGAGCACCGUGUUCUCCGUCUAUUUACAGUUUGGAAAGGAUAAGGAAGGCGGUACCCGGACUGAAUGUGCCUUUGUCUUGGUGUCGUUCCAGAACUUUGAACAAUUUACUUUUUUGUUUUCUCCCAGCUCUGGCCAUAAACACUUUCUUUUCUUGUUAGCUUUUUGUGGAGAAAACUUGGGAAAGAAGUAAGACUUCAAGUACGUCCACCCAAGGUGUUUAAGAAUACCCUGCCAUUUUUGCAAUUUCCAUCCUGUCCUUUCUUUAUAUCCAUUAGUAUGGCUUUGGGUUUGGAGUUAACAUGUUAAAAUGUGUGUGUGUAUGUGAGUGUGUGCACGUGUGAAUGUGUUAGAUGGUUCUAUUAUUGUAGAAAAAUGUUUCUGAGAUGGCAUCUCAGGUGAGGUCAUAUUCUUUAAGGACUUCUGCUAAUUAUCUUGGUAUAUUUUGCCUGAAUAGAGAUAAAGAUACUUAUUCACCAAGGUUUUCCUGACAAAAAUAUAACUUUCACUUAAGGUUUGAUUUUGUCUGACUCUUACACACUUCUUCCUUCCACCUCCAUAAUCACACACACACACAGGCACACACACACAUUGUACAAUUCUGGAAUGUCUUUUUUUUUUUUUUUUUUUAGAGUU